GGCUGGAGAGCUAAGUUGAUAGUUCGCACUAAUAACGCGAAUGUCGUGGGUUCGAUCCCACACUGGCCA
rnacentral:tRNA from 1 species